UACGUAGGGUGCGAGCGUUGUCCGGAAUUAUUGGGCGUAAAGGGCUCGUAGGCGGUUUGUCACGUCGGGAGUGAAAACUCGGGGCUUAACCCCGAGCCUGCUUCCGAUACGGGCUGACUAGAGGUAUGCAGGGGAGAACGGAAUUCCUGGUGUAGCGGUGAAAUGCGCAGAUAUCAGGAGGAACACCGGUGGCGAAGGCGGUUCUCUGGGCAUGUCCUGACGCUGAGGAGCGAAAGUGUGGGGAGCGAACAGG
rnacentral:rRNA from 1 species